rnacentral:rRNA from 1 species
UACGAAGGGGCUAGCGUUGUUCGGAAUUACUGGGCGUAAAGCGCACGUAGGCGGAUCGGUCAGUUAGGGGUGAAAUCCCAGGGCUCAACCCUGGAACUGCCUUUAAUACUGCCGGUCUGGAGUUCGAGAGAGGUGAGUGGAAUUCCGAGUGUAGAGGUGAAAUUCGUAGAUAUUCGGAGGAACACCAGUGGCGAAGGCGGCUCACUGGCUCGAUACUGACGCUGAGGUGCGAAAGCGUGGGGAGCAAACAGGAUUAGAUACCCCCGUAGUCCCUGA